GCCAGACACAUAGGAAGCAAGACGAGAAUGACUCUCUGAGAAAAGGUACCAAGCCACGUGGCUAAACAUAGAUAAGAAUUAUGGGUUAAUUUAAGUUGUAAGAGUUUGUUAGUAGUAAACCUGAGCAAUAGGCCAAACAGUUUAUAAUUAAUGUCAGCCUCCGUGUGUUUAUUUGGGACUGAAUGGCCGCAGGACCGGGUGCGACAGGAACUUGAGCCAACAACUUCUUCUACUUCUGGAUCCUGAGCACCCAAGAUCAAGGUGCCUGGAAGUCAUCUUGGGACACAGGGCUUGCCUUGGAGCCUGACUUCCUGACGACUUUUGACUGGGGGCCAGCAUUAUCCUCGGUCUGCACAGACCACAUGUGCUUCCCCCUCUGGUGCUCUGAGCAGUUGAACUCACUGGAGGGGAAGCACCUGUAAUCCCCGUUUGGAAAAAUGUCUGCCUAACGGCAAUUCUCCCGGACACAACACACUUGACAAUGGAAGGCACAGUGGGAUCGGGGCUCGCCGAAGCCUGUUUCAUGUGCAGAUACAAUCAGAGAUUUGGCCAGCUAUUUGGAAACGGCUGGGCCCUGCAGAUAGCUUAAUCACUGAGAAUUCCUCUAUGGCCUGCUCUGAUUCUAAGCUGUGAUAAACUUGGAAGAUGGAAACUGAGAGAUGGGUUGGAAGACUAAGUCUAGACAGGGUUUCUCUGUGGCUUUGGAGCUUGUCCUAGCACUCACUCUGUAGACCAGGUUGGUCUCAAAUUCAUAGAGAUCUGCCUGCCUCUGCCUCCCGAGUUCUGGAUUAAAGGCGUUCGCUACCACCGCCAAGAAAUCUGGCCUUGAACUUCUGAUCCUGGGAUUACAGGUGUGUAGUCCUAGAACUUCACUCAUGCUAGACAAGCACCGUACCGACUGAGCUUUAUCGCAGCCCCUGUGAGAGCCUCAAACGCACCAGUCACUGCGCUAGUGCAGGGGAGAAUUAGCAGCUCUGCCAUCCCAGCCCAGACUGCCUUUGUCACCUGUGCACAUCUUCCGGUUCGCAUUGUCCAGUGCCACACAGCCAACGAAGUGGUCAACCUUCAUUGACAACUUGAUGGAAUCUAGAAUCACCAUGGAAACACACUUAUGCAUGUUCCCAUGGGUGUGUUCCCAGGGAGCUUUAACUGAAGAGAGAGGACUCAACCUGAAUGUGGGGAGCGCCAUCCCUCCAGCUGGGGGGCCAUCCUGAAUGAAAAGGAGAAAUCUACCCGGGCACCCGCAUUCAUCUUCUCUGCCUCCCGACUGUGGGUGCAGUGGACCAGUUGCCUUUCCCACCAGGACGGGCUGUACACCUUGGGAGUGUGAGUCAAUACACUUCCCUUCUUCAUUUAAGUUGCCUGUUGUCAGGACUUUGGUCACAUAAAGAGAAGAGCAAUUUAUACAGCACACUAACCAUCACUUAUUUGUCUCAGUUUUUGAAUGCUCAAUGUUUAUUAGGCUAAGGUGUUGGUGGGUAUGGUGGUUUGAAAGAAAAUGACUCCUCAAAGUGAGUGGCACUAGGUGUGGCUUUGUUAGAAUAGGCGUGGCCUUGUUGGCAGAAGUGUGUCACUGUGGAGGUGGACUCAAGCCAAGCCCAAUGUCUCAGACCACUUCCUGUUGCCAGUGAGUUGAGAAUUAAGAACCCGCAGCUCCCUCUCCAGCACCAUGUCUGCCUGCACUCUGCCAUACUCCAAACUGCCAUGCUCCCCACUGUGAAGACAAGAGACUAAACCUCUGAAACUGUAAGCCAGCCACCCAAUUAAAUGUUUUCCUUUGUAAGAGUUACCGUGGUCAUGGUGUCUCUUCACAGCAACAGGACACUGACUGAGACAGUGGGGAAAGCCCCUAUCUCAGGAGCUCACAGUUUGGGAAUUAAGCAAGGUCAUAAAUGAAACACUGUCAUAUUUCAAGUUCUGUUUGGAAUGAAGGAAAUAGAAUGCCAUGGCUUAAGCAGUGAAAUCCAGAUAUAACAGAAGGGUGCCCAAGAAUUAAAUUUACUCCCAGUGAGUCAUCCAUUCACUGAACAUUUGCUGACUGCUUCAAAGACGCCUGCAGCUGAGCUCAGAAGAGAGAAAUGCAGGAGAGGGAACUGCAGAGAAUGAGAAACCAGACUGCCACCCAGACCUCCUGCUGUCGGCCCUGUGCCUGAGCAACCUACCAAUCCUCUACAGGGUUUCUCUGUGCAGCCCUGGCUGUCCUGUUACUUGCUCUAUAGACCAACCUAUCCUGGAACUCAGAGACCCACCUGCCACCAUCAGCUGGCUGAAAGUGAAAACUUAAACGGUUCGAAAAGUUAAGUAUACUUGAUUUUUAAAUUUCUAUUUUUUUUUUUUGAUUGUGUGGGUGUGAGAGUGUAAGGGCGUGUUCGAACACCUGUGUGUAAGAAGCCCACAGACACCAGAUGAAAGAGCUGGUAAAUGUGAGCCACUGGUAUGGCUGCUGGGAACCCAUCUCUGCUUGUCUGAAUGAGCUGCUUUCAAGUGCUGAAUUAGCUGUGGGGCUAGAGAGAUGGCUCAGCAGUAAAGAGUAUUUUCUGUUAUUCCAGAGGGCCUGUAGGGCUUGAAUGAAAAUGCCCUUCAUAAGCUCCUAUGUUUGAACACUUGGUCUCCAGCUGGAAAAACUGUCUGGGGAGGUUUGGAUUAUGUGGCCUCAUUGGAAGAGGUGUGCCACUGGAGUCCAGCUCUGGAGUUUCAAAAGGCCAGUGUAUUGUCUUCCCCUGUUUGCAGACCAAGGCGUGAGCUCUCAGCGGUUCCUUUGCUCUGCCAUCAGGGACUCUAAUCCUCUGGAACUGCAAGCAAAGCCCAAUGCCACUGGAAGAGUGCAAGGCUGAUGCCAUCCUAAACUAAUGAGACAACUUUUCAACAAAGCCUGGCUCAGACAUCCAGAGAACGAAGGGAGACUACAAGCAGUGGUCGCAGACUCUGGCGACCACCUGAGCAAACAGAAUGGAUAGAGAUGACACAGAGGCAGUUCUUUGUGUGUGACAGGGUCACUCUACAUAGCCCUGGCUGUUCUGGAACUCUCUUUGUAGACCAGGCUAGCCUGGAAUCCACAGAGAUCCGCUUGCCUCGGCCUCCCAGUACUGGGACCAAAGGUGUAUGCCAUACCCAGCCCUGAGACAGCUUUUUAAGGACUUGACCUACAGCUUCUCAGACCCCCUACUGUCUGAGUAUAGCAGCCCAGCCUCUGCUCACUGGCUUUUGUGGUGACAGCUAGUGUGAGUUACAGUUUAACCAAGCCCUCUGCCUCCAGAGCUGUGGGGCCCCAUGAGCUGGCCCAGCCCAUGCCCCACUACUCCCUCAGGCAGAACCUCCUGUCCUCCACAGGACUCCCCACUCCACACCCCACCCCCAUCUUCCCGUGUCUUCCAUGAAAACAUCCCGAGCAUUGAUAGGAUUCUAAACCAGAGGAUGGAUCUUAAAAACAAUAAUGCACAUGAGAUUGUUGCUAUCGUCAUUGGUGUAACAGACGCUCACAUUCAAGCCCAGUGGCAGGCCCCAGUGGAGGCACUGGUCACAAACUGUGACCUAGAACAGAGGCUAGAGGCUGGGACACCUGCCACCUGCUGGGCCAAAGCCCAGCUGGCCUGAACCAGCCCCAGGGUAGUGGAUGUGAAAGACCCGCUCGAAAUGCCCCUGAGCCCCCUGCCCCGAAGCUGCCGG
rnacentral:lncRNA from 1 species